UAGUCAGAUGACCACAAGUGGUUGGUUGU
rnacentral:piRNA from 1 species